GGGGUAAAAUUAAAAAAUUAUAAUUAAUAAAAAAAAUUUUAAUAUUAAAAAUAAAUAAAUGGGGGUUUAAGUAUUUUUAAUAGAAAAAAUUAAUAUUUUUAUAGUUAAAUAUUACUGUAAAGGAAUAUAUUAAAUAAAUAAAAAAAAAAUUAAUUAAAAAGUAAAUUUAAUUUAUUGUAUCUUGUGUAUCAGAGUUUAUUAAAUAAUAAUAAUUUAAUUAAAUAAAUCUCGAAUUUAAAAGAGUUAAUUAAUUAAAAAAUUUAAUGUUGUAUAAUUAUUUUUAAUAAUUAAUUAGAAAUGAAAUGUUAAUCGUUUUUAAAUAUAUCUAGUUUUUUUAGAAAAAAAUUUAAUUUAAAAUUAAAAUAAUUUUAUAAUUAAUUAAUUAAUUAUAAAAAUUUGAAAUUUAAUAUUUUAGGGGAUAAGCUUUAAAUUAAAAAUUUAUAAUUAAAUAAAUUAAAAAUUAAAAUUUUUAAUAUUUAUAUUGUUUAAAAAUUAUAAUUUAUUAUAAAAAAUUUUAAUAAAAAAUAAAAUUUAAAAUAAAAAUUUAAAUUUUUAUAAAAAAAUAAUUUAUAAUUUAAUAAAAUUAGUAAUAAUAAUAUAUAUAUAUAUAUAUAUAUAUAUAAAUUAAAUAAAAAUUUAUUAAAAAAUAAAUUAAAGGAAUUCGGCAAAAAUUUAUGUUCACUUGUUUAUCAAAAACAUGUCUUUUUGAUUAUAAUUUAAAGUCUAAUCUGCCCACUGAUAUUAAAAAUUAAAGGGCUGCAGUAUAUUGACUGUACAAAGGUAGCAUAAUCAUUAGUCUUUUAAUUGAAGACUUGUAUGAAAGAUUUGAUGAGAUAUAAACUGUCUCUAUUUUAAAAUUAGAAAUUAAUUUUUUAGUAAAAAAGCUAAAAUAAGAUUAAAAGACGAGAAGACCCUAUAGAGUUUUAUAUUUUAUUUUUUUUUUAUAAAAAUUUAUAAUUAAUUAAUAAAAAAGAUAAAAUAUUUUGUUGGGGUGAUAGAAAAAUUUAAUAAACUUUUUUUAUUUUUUAACAUAGAUAAGUGUAUUAUUGAUCCAUUAUUAAUGAUUAAAAGAAAAAAUUACCUUAGGGAUAACAGCGUAAUAUUUUUUUUUAGUACAAAUAAAAAAAAAAGUUUGCGACCUCGAUGUUGGAUUAAGAUAAAAUUUAAAUGCAGAAGUUUAAAAUUUUGAUCUGUUCGAUCAUUAAAAUCUUACAUGAUCUGAGUUCAAACCGGUGUGAGCCAGGUUGGUUUCUAUCUUUAACAAAUAAAAAUAUUUUAGUACGAAAGGAUUAAAUAUUUAAAAUAAUUUUAUUUAUUUGAAUAUUAUUAAAUUUGAUUAUA
rnacentral:rRNA from 1 species